rnacentral:rRNA from 1 species
UACGUAGGUGACAAGCGUUGUCCGGAUUUACUGGGCGUAAAGAGCGCGCAGGCGGUCGUUCAAGUCGAGUGUGAAAGCCCCCGGCUCAACUGGGAGGGUCACUCGAUACUGAUCGACUCGAAGGCAGGAGAGGGUAGUGGAAUUCCCGGUGUAGUGGUGAAAUGCGUAGAUAUCGGGAGGAACACCAGUGGCGAAGGCGACUACCUGGCCUGUUCUUGACGCUGAGGCGCGAAAGCUAGGGGAGCAAACGGGG